GGGAGCACACAUGCAUGCACAUACUGAUCCCCACGGAGCAGGAAUGAGGCUAUAAAAUUUGUUUUGCUUUAUCUGUGAACCCGUGCUUGCAGCAAUCACAACGAUUUAAAGACAAAAAGAUAAAUGAAUACAAGCUUAUGAGCUGAAAUGCAGCUAUUUUUCUUUGCCGAUCCCGAGCUAAGUGGAAGAAAAACCCACAGAGAUCAACACCAACACAAAAAAGAAACAUCUAUUUAACCUCUUUUUUCCCCUGUUGUUCUGCUCAUCUGGUGUAAAUUAAAGAAAAAAAAAAAAUCUUUUGAGAGCCGUGAUUGUUUUAACCUGCCAGUAACCCCCUUGAGUUCAUCAGAGCAAAAGACAGCAAAAGCCUGUUUAUUGUCCAGCAGGCAUCUACACAUGUUGUAAGCGAAGUUCCAUCUGGUCACAACAUCAUGGAUCAUCUGGGCAACAGCCAGGCUUCAUUUGCUUCAUGUCCUGGACAGCAUGAAGGCAGCCGGAUAGGAAUACGUGAAUGACUGACCAACCACAACCGAGCCGGCCCCGGAGGAUUACUCUAAUAAUAGCUCCUCACCACGGAGCAGUGGUGGCGGUGUGACUUGUUUUCUUUUUCUAAAUGACUCAAGCUGGGCUCUGUGGGAUUGCUGAGCUUUUCUAUUAGGUGCUGGCAGUGUACUGGAGGCACAGCUUGGCUUGCUUUAACAGAACCGGAGGACUAUGUUGACUGCAUGAAAUUCUUCCCAAAACGUUCUUGUAAGCAAAGACCCAAAGAAACCCUGUGCAUAACGGCUGCUUUUCCAGGCUUGUACUGUGUGUAUUUCACAGCAAAGCAACGAGUACAAAACACCAUCAUACCAGAGUUUUACAAAUGCUUACCCUUGGAGAAGAUGUCUGUUUUGCGCAAGGGCAAAAAAGAGAUAGUGAAUGAUCGACUUAAUUCUGUUUAACCCAAAGUCUGAGCACCUCAGGGAGAUGCCCUGCGGCCAACAUUGUCUCCAGACAUCCAUAACACACUGAAGUACCAAAUGAGAUGUCCACAGCACUGCUGCUGCCCCGAUUGCCACAUCUCUUCUCGUCUCAAGUGCUCUUAUGUAAGCAGUGACGUAUUUGCUUCUGAACAAUAUUCUGAGUCGUCAGAGAAAUGCGUGUUCCAUUUACUCUGCAAAGGAUUGAAACAGAAUGCAAAAGUGAUGCUGAGCGGGCUGCAAUUGCAGUCUGCAGUUCUCUGGGCAAUUCCAGAGGGAUUGCAGCAGUUGUUAUUGAAUAGCAUUUGUUGGAAUGGUGAAUACAACUCGAAAUGCUGAGCAGGAAUGAAGCUACUUUUGUUUGUCUGAUAACGCCAAGGGGCAGCUUGAAACUAACUUCAAAAUGCACAUCGAAUCUUGUCAUUCUGGAUAGAGCAUACUUGAUGUACUUGAUGUUCAACAAAAUGCAACUUUAAUGAAUUAAUGAAUGGAUCCCCAAAAUGUUUUUGGAGCCAUAACUUACCAUACAUACAAUAACGGAAUAAUAUAAUAGGAACCUCUGCCAUCAGAAGAAAAACAGUGAAAACACAAGAGAAGGGAGUUAAGAAGCUCUGGAUACAAGAUUUUUGUUAACCCUACUCGGUUGCUGUAACAAGCUAGAGCCCUGAAUGUGGACCAUCACCUUCCUGCUGGAAAGGCCCAGGGAAUCAGGGAAUCCAAAGGAGUUGAAACCAUUUGUGUUGUUAAAAGCUCACGCCUCUGGACAUUAUGUAUAAUGCUGUAGAUGCAAAGUAGCAAGGCAUUUGCAAGGAGUUUCAUAUAACAUACAUGGAAUUAUUUGUAUUUUUUUCAUUCUGUCUUGCAAACCCUUUUCCUAGUACUUAGAAGCAAACUGCAUGGAUGUGUACACAUUUGCACCAUGUGUGAAGGUGAAUUAAUUACAGUGCAGACUGCUUGAGAUGAGAGUGAUUAUGGCAGAGGAAAUGCGCACCAUCUCUUCACUCGUGGGGAAAUUUGAAUCAGGCGGCCGUAACGAAAAAUCUUCUGGAGCUUCCAUUGAACUUGAAGAUUGAAGUGAGAACUUCUGUUUUUCUGGAAAGAGCAGAGGCUAAGUCUUUUGAGGUUUGAUAAUGGGCAAAGACAAUGAUUAGAAAGGCCUUGUUCCUCUCAUAUUUGAUAACAGAUCCCUCUGGUUCAAGGUGGUCAAGCUUCAGUAUUGCUGCUGCCUACCACUGUUCUCUCUCCUCUUCCAAACCAUGAGCUGAUGGAUUGGAUGCUGUGGAGCAAGGCAAAUGGAAGCCUUUAUAAAGAAACAGCAGGGGCUGGACACUUAUGGAUGAGGUGUAUUGAGAAUUACAUCUAGUCUGAUGAGUGCAUGACAGCCUUGACUGACCUAUACUGGUGAUGGUCCUGCUUUGAGUGGGAGAUUGGACGAAAUGACCUCUGGGAAUCCCUUAAAACCAGCACAGCUCCUGUCCAGGAGUCCUGAACUGGUAGAAGCAUGUGUUGUCUACAUCUACAAUAAGGUCAUUUCAGUCAAAAUUAGCACGGUUUUAUACUGAACUUUUUGAAGAGUAAAAUUGAAAGAGGAAA
ensembl:lncRNA